AACGAACGCUGGCGGCGUGGAUAAGACAUGCAAGUCGGACGGGACUCUCUGUUGUAGCAAUACGACGGAAAGUUCAGUGGCGAUCGGGUGCGUAACACGUGGGCAAUCUGCCUUAAAGUGUGGAAUAGCUCGGCGAAAGCCGAAUUAAUACCGCAUGUGGCUACUGGAGACAUCUUCGGGACGCUAAAGGUGGCGCAAGCUACCGAUUUUUGAGGAGCCCGCGGCCUAUCAGCUUGUUGGUGAGGUAACGGCUCACCAAGGCGUUGACGGGUAGCUGGUCUGAGAGGACGACCAGCCACACUGGGACUGAGACACGGCCCAGACACCUACGGGUGGCAACAGUCGAGAAUUUUUGACAAUGGGGGAAACCCUGAUCGAGCGACGCCGCGUGGAGGAUGAAGGUCUUCGGGUUGUAAACUCCUGUCAUUUGGGAACAAGGCGCGCGUAUUAACUGUACGUGCGUUGAUAGUACCAGAAGAGGAAGAGACGGCUAACUCUGUGCCAGCAGCCGCCGUAACAC
rnacentral:rRNA from 1 species